rnacentral:rRNA from 1 species
AACGAACGCUGGCGGCAUGCCUAACACAUGCAAGUCGAACGAGACCUUCGGGUCUAGUGGCGCACGGGUGCGUAACGCCUGGGAACCUGCCCUUAGGUUCGGAAUAACUCCCCGAAAGAUGUGCUAAUACCGGUUAAUCUCUUCGGACCAAAGAUUUCUGGCCUUUGGAUGGGCCCGCGUUGGAUUAGCCAGUUGGUAGGGUAAAAGCCUACCAAGGCGACGAUCCAUAGCUGGUCUGAGAGGAUGAUCAGCCACACUGGGACUGAGACACGGCCCAGACCGCUACGGGAGGCAGCAGUGGGGAAUAUUGGACGAUGGGCGAAAGCCUGAUCCAGCAAUGCCGCGGGAGUGAGGAAGGCCUUAGGGUUGUAAAGCUCUUUUACCCGGGAUGAUAAUGACAGUACCGGGAGAAUAAGCACCGGCUAACUCCGUG